rnacentral:rRNA from 1 species
UACGUAGGGGGCAAGCGUUGUCCGGAAUCAUUGGGCGUAAAGAGCGUGUAGGCGGCCCGGUAAGUCCGCUGUGAAAGUCCAGGGCUCAACCCUGGAAUGCCGGUGGAAACUGUCGGGCUAGAGUCCGGAAGAGGCGAGUGGAAUUCCUGGUGUAGCGGUGAAAUGCGCAGAUAUCAGGAGGAACACCAAUGGCGAAGGCAGCCCCCUGGGAUAACGACUGACGCUCAUGCACGAAAGCGUGGGGAGCAAACAGG